CAGACAUCUUUCUUUUACCCCUCACAUUGUUCUCUACUGCUCCUCUGCUUCCUGCUUCCGGAAACUGACCUUUGGCGAAUCCUUUGACAGGUCCUUCUGCCCCUGGGGCUUUGAGUUGUGUUCCAUGGAUUGGCACCGCCAUGAAAAGAUAAGAGAGGGCAAGACAUUGGCUUCCACUCCCCAUCCCUACUCGUUGCUGGCUGGAAUGUAGAAGAGGUAGAGAAAUAUCUUCGAUCACAGAGCAUCUUCCCAUUGGCAGAGCAACAAACCGGAAGUACCCUCCAUGCCCUAUUCCACAAAUAAGUUGUUG
rnacentral:lncRNA from 1 species